GAUGAACGCUGGCGGCGUGCUUAAUACAUGCAAGUCGAACGGAAAGGCCCUGCUCUUGCGGGUUGCUCGAGUGGCGAACGGGUGAGUAAAACGCGAGUAACCUGUCCCUGACUUUGGGAUAACUCCUGGAGAAUGGGGAUCAUACCGCAUAGGAGCUCUUGCUGCACGGUGGGGGUUGGUAAGAUUCGGCGGUUGGGGCUGGUAUCGCGGCUUAUCAGCUUGUUGGUGGAGUAGUGGCUUACAAAGUCUGCGACGGAUAGCCGGCCUGGGCGGCUGGCCAGCGUCAUGGGGACUGAGAGACGGCCCAGACGGCUACGGGAGGCAACGGUGGGGAACAUGACGCAAUGAGCGGGAGCGUGAGGCGGCGACGCCGCGUGCGUGAAAACGGCCUUCGAGGUGUGAACCGAUGUGGCCGUAAACAAGGCGGGAUUGACGGUAAUGAGUAAGGAAGCACCGGCUAACUACGUG
rnacentral:rRNA from 1 species